rnacentral:rRNA from 1 species
UCGAGAAUCUUCCGCAAUGGGCGCAAGCCUGACGGAGCGACGCCGCGUGCGGGAUGAAGGCCUUCGGGUUGUAAACCGCUGUCAGUGGGGAGGAAAUGCAUGGGGGUUCUCCCCUAUGUUUGACCGAUCCGCAGAGGAAGCACAGGCUAAGUUCGUGCCAGCAGCCGCGGUAACACGAACUGUGCAAACGUUAUUCGGAAUCACUGGGCUUAAAGAGUUCGUAGGCGGUCUGUUAAGUCGAGUGUGAAAUCCCCCGUCUCAACCGGGGAAUUGCGCCCGAAACUGGCAGGCUCGAGUGAGAUAGAGGUGAGCGGAACUGAUGGUGGAGCGGUGAAAUGCGUUGAUAUCAUCAGGAACACCGGUUGCGAAGGCGGCUCACUGGGUCUUUACUGACGCUGAGGAACGAAAGCUAGGGGAGCGAACG